CCCUUAGAUGUUCUGGGCCGCACGCGCGCUACACUGAUGCAUUCAACGAGUUUCUUCCUGGUCCGAGAGGAAUGGGUAACCUUUUGAAAGUGCAUCGUGAUAGGGAUAGACUAUUGCAAUUAUUGGUCUUCAACGAGGAAUUCCUAGUAGACGUAGUUCAUCAGACUGCAUCGAUUACUUCCCUGCCCUUUGUACACACCGCCCGUCGCUCCUACCGAUUGAAUGCUCAGGUGAGCCAUUCGGACUUUCAUCAUGCUGGUUUCCAGUUUUGAUGAAGGAAAGUCUUGCGAACCUUAUCAUUUAGAGGAAGGAGAAGUCGUAACA
rnacentral:rRNA from 1 species